UAAGGAAUAUUGGUCAAUGGACGCAAGUCUGAACCAGCCAUGCCGCGUGAAGGAUGAAGGUCCUCUGGAUUGUAAACUUCUUUUAUCUGGGACGAAAACGGGAUUUUUAUCUCAAUUGACGGUACCAGAGGAAUAAGCACCGGCUAACUCCGUGCCAGCAGCUGCGGUAAUACGGCGGGUGCGAGCGUUAUCCGGAUUUACUGGGUUUAAAGGGUGCGUAGGUGGGCUUAUAAGUCAGUGGUGAGAUCUCCGAGCUUAACUUGGAAACGGCCGUUGAUACUAUAGGUCUUGAAUUAUCUGGAGGUAAGCGGAAUAUGUCAUGUAGCGGUGAAAUGCUUAGAUAUGACAUAGAACACCAAUUGCGAAGGCAGCUUACUACAUAUAAAUUGACACUGAGGCACGAAAGCGU
rnacentral:rRNA from 1 species